rnacentral:rRNA from 1 species
UACGUAGGGUGCAAGCGUUGUCCGGAAUUAUUGGGCGUAAAGGGCUCGUAGGCGGCCAACUAAGUCAGACGUGAAAUCCCUCGGCUUAACCGGGGAACUGCGUCUGAUACUGGAUGGCUUGAGGUUGGGAGAGGGAUGCGGAAUUCCAGGUGUAGCGGUGAAAUGCGUAGAUAUCUGGAGGAACACCGGUGGGGAAGGCGGCAUCCUGGGCCACGACUGACGCUGAGUGAGCGAAAGCCAGGGGAGCAAACGGG